rnacentral:rRNA from 1 species
AACGAACGCUGGCGGCAGGCCUAACACAUGCAAGUCGAGCGCGCCCUUCGGGGUGAGCGGCGGACGGGUGAGUAACGCGUGGGAACGUGCCCUUUUCUACGGAAUAGCCUCGGGAAACUGAGAGUAAUACCGUAUACGCCCUUUGGGGGAAAGAUUUAUCGGAAAAGGAUCGGCCCGCGUUGGAUUAGGUAGUUGGUGGGGUAAUGGCCUACCAAGCCGACGAUCCAUAGCUGGUUUGAGAGGAUGAUCAGCCACACUGGGACUGAGACACGGCCCAGACUCCUACGGGAGGCAGCAGUGGGGAAUCUUAGACAAUGGGGGCAACCCUGAUCUAGCCAUGCCGCGUGAGUGGUGAAGGCCUUAGGGUUGUAAAGCUCUUUCAGCUGGGAAGAUAAUGACGGUACCAGCAGAAGAAGCCCCGGCUAACUCCGUG